GCUGGUUUGAGAGCUGCAACCAGGAAGUAUAGGAAGAGGGGAGUGGCCAAGAUGGCAGGGUAGGAAGACUCUGAGCUCACCUCCUCCCACAGGCACACCAAAAUUACAGCUAUUUACAGAGCAACUACCGAUGAGAAGGACCUGGAGACUAGCAGAAAGGAUCUACAACUAAAGAUAUAAAGAAGGAGCCGCAGUGAGAUGGUAGGAGCCGCAAAGGUACAAUGUAGUCAAGAUCCACACCCCCAGUGUUGGGAGAUUUGGAGCAGUUCCUGUGGAAAUCCAGCUGAAGGGAUUGCCAGAUGAGACACAGUGACAAGACUGCCUUCAUGCUCUCAGAAACUUGGAUGUGGAGAGUUCUGCAGAUCAACAGCAGCCUCCUUGCUUUCAUAAACAAGAAGAAAUGUCAACCAGGAUCAGG